rnacentral:rRNA from 1 species
UACAGAGGGUGCAAGCGUUAAUCGGAAUUACUGGGCGUAAAGCGUGCGUAGACGGUUAUGUAAGUCAGGUGUGAAAGCCCCGGGCUCAACCUGGGAAUUGCAUUUGAGACUGCAUAGCUAGGGUGCGGAAGAGGGAAGCGGAAUUUCCGGUGUAGCGGUGAAAUGCGUAGAUAUCGGAAGGAACAUCAGUGGCGAAAGCGGCUUCCUGGUCCAGCACCGACGUUCAGGCACGAAAGCGUGGCGAGCAAACAGG